UUGCGCAGUAUAGGUGGGAGGCUAAGAAAAUAUAUUUGUGGAUAUAUUAGAGCCAACAGUGAGAUACCACUCUAAUUAAACUAGAAUUCUAACCUUGAUUGCCAUAAGCUGGCCAAGGAACAGUUUCAGGUAGGCAGUUUGACUGGGGCGGUCGCCUCCUAAAAGGUAACGGAGGCGUGCAAAGGUUUCCUCAGGCUGGUCGGAAAUCAGUCGUAGAGUGUAAAGGCAUAAGGAAGCUUGACUGCAAGACCUACAAGUCGAGCAGAGACGAAAGUCGGCCUUAGUGAUCCGACAGUGC
rnacentral:rRNA from 1 species